rnacentral:tRNA from 1 species
GCGGGUAUCGUCCAAUGGCAGGGCGAAGGCUGCCCAAGCCUUAGAUGCGGGUUCGAUUCCCGCUACCCGCUCCA